CCAGUGCUGGGUGCUGGGUGUGGGUGCUGGGUGCUGGGUGCUGUUCUUCCUGCAGGGAUGCACUGGGCCAGUGUAUCCAGGGAAAUGCUGAGGUGGCAGCAGGAGGGAGCCUGGUGCAGAACGUGUUCGUGCUGCUGUGCACAGCUCCAGGAGAUGCUGGCCCUGCCUGCCCACAGAAAUGUCCCCUCCUGGUGCCUGGGGUGGCUCAGGGACAGCUGGGCUGGGCUUUGCGUGGUGAGACAGGGAGAAAUCACAGCCCAAAAGGAACAAAACUCUUCCCGACCCUCCUUUUCCCUGGAAUGCUGAGCCCCAAGGAGAGGAGAGCAGCAGGGGCUGGGAUGGGCUGAGACUGAGGAUGUGCAGAGAGCAAACAAAGCAACAGAGAGCUCCAGAGUGAAAAUGCCGUGAGGAAUCACAAAUCAAGACUACUCACUUGAACUCAGCCUAAAGUGAAGCUUCAAAAGACCUGGAGGGGAGUGGAGAUUACAAAGGAAUCCCACCAGACCUGGAUAUUCAAAGGAGAGAGUUUUCCCCUGCAGUGUGCAGUGCUGGAGGAGAGCCUGGAGCUUUUCCAGUUCAAUUAUUCCUGAGUUUGUGCAGGGCUGGGUUUAUUCCUGGCCUCCAACAGGAGCCAGUUUACCUUGGUGAGUUUUCCUCCUGUAAGUAAAUAUCAGAGUUGUAAUUUAUCCUGGAAUCAUGGAAUGGUUGGGUGGGAAGGGCCCUUGAAGUUCACCCCAUGGCAGGGACACCUCCCACUGUCCCAGGUUGCUCCAGCCCCAGUGUCCAGCCUGGCCUUGGGCACUGCCAGGGAGCCAGGGGCAGCCACAGGAUGAGUUUUGGGUGUUACUCACACACAAGUUCCUUCUAAAGCUUUAAACACGAUGAAGAUGUACUUUAAAUCUAUGCAGAUUUAACUGUGCUUUCAAUCUAUCCAGGAGCAGUUUAGGACUUUGGGAAUGAUUAAUUCCAUUUGCAGCCAGAGCCUUGGCUUUGCCCCCAGAGCACCUGAGUCACCAGCAAGCAAAGGCUGACAGAAACGAGGGAGUCUCUUUGUUCUGCCCUAAAAUCAUAAAGUUAUGAAAAGAAAACAAAAAGUAAACCAGAAAAGCAGCUGGGAACAAAAGUGCUGCUGCAUAGGGGAUGAAAUCCAGCAAAGAUCUUCAAUUUGUGGUUUUAUAUUUAAGAGCUGUUUAAUUUAUAGGGUGGCAUUGGGUUUGAGAGUGUUCUGUCCCUGUGGGAGGGGGCUGGGGCAGUCUGACCCCACAUCCUGGUGGGGCUCAGCUUGGCCAGAAAUCUGCUGGGAAUCCUGCACAGAACCUUGGAAUCCUGGAAUGGGCUGGAGGGACCUCAAAUCCCCCCAGUGCCCCCCUGCCAUGGCAGGGACACCUCCCACUGUCCCAGGCUGCUCCAGCCCCAGUGUCCAGCCUGGCCUUGGGCACUGCCAGGGAUCCAGGGGCAGCCCCAGCUUGGUUUGGAAGGACGGGUGAAUGUUCUGCUAGGGAAAGCAGGAGCUUCCCUUGGAAUGGAGAAUGUAACCCCCUCCCUCUGAAUUGUUAUAGUUUUCAAAUUCAGGGGCUCUCAGGCAAAGAUACGGGAAUAGGAAUAACAGUUCCUUACUAGGAAUAUUAAAAUAAAAAUGUAGUAGUAUAAGAAAAAAACCCAACCAAACAAAAAACAAACAAAAAGAAAAAACACUGAGUCAG